CUAACGCGAUAAGUAGACCGCCUGGGGAGUACGGUCGCAAGAUUAAAACUCAAAUGAAUUGACGGGGGCCCGCACAAGCGGUGGAGCAUGUGGUUUAAUUCGAAGCAACGCGAAGAACCUUACCUACUCUUGACAUCCACGGAAGACUGCAGAGAUGCGGUUGUGCCUUCGGGAACCGUGAGACAGGUGCUGCAUGGCUGUCGUCAGCUCGUGUUGUGAAAAUGUUGGGUUAAGUCCCGUAACGAGCGCAACCCUUGUCCUUAGUUGCCAUCAUUUAGUUGGGGACUCUAAGGAGACUGCCGGUGACAAACCGGAGGAAGGCGGGGACGACGUCAAGUCAUCAUGGCCCUUACGAGUAGGGCUACACACGUGCUACAAUGGCCGGUACAGAGGGUUGCCAAGCCGCGAGGUGGAGCUAAUCUCACAAAGCCGGUCGUAGUCCGGAUUGGAGUCUGCAACUCGACUCCAUGAAGUCGGAAUCGCUAGUAAUCGUGAAUCAGAACGUCACGGUGAAUACGUUCCCGGGCG
rnacentral:rRNA from 1 species